rnacentral:tRNA from 1 species
UAGAAAAAUAGGAGUUGAACCUAUAGUAAAGAGAUCAAAA